rnacentral:lncRNA from 1 species
GCUUAAUCGAAAUUUCUGCAAAACUUAGUUUCUUGAAACUAAUAUUGAACAAUUUCAUACUAACCACAUUUAUAUUGGAAGUUUAUGAAUUAUAAGUUACUUUAUCUAAAUUUACCGAUACUCAUGAUAUUUACAUUUUCAAAAGAAAAUCAGUGUCAUGCUCAGUAAAAUUUUAACUUUUGAGUAAAAAAUAGUUUUAACUGAAUGAAAUCAUCACAGAAACAAGAACUCAUUUAAGAUUCCAAAUUUAUCACAACAAAUUGCCAGCAGGUUUUCUAUUUUUGUGUAUUGCUGUCAAUUAUAACAUUUUUACACUCAAGUGUGGUUUAUAGCACAUUAAUAACAUAAUUUCAUUCAGCAGUUUGUCCAGAUAUGCUACAUUGUAGAAAAUUCAUGCUUAAUUUAAUACCCAUCAUACCCUGUUGCAGUUAAAUUCCUGUCAUGCUUUGUUGAAUAAAAAAUUCCCAUCAUGCUCUAUUGUAGUAUAUUUCCCAUCAUGCUCCAUUGUAGCACAAUUCCCAUCAUGCUCUAUUGUAGCAGAUUACCCAUCAUGUUCUAUUAUAGCAGAUUUCCCCUCAUGCUCCAUUGUAGCAGAUUACCCAUAACACCCUAUUUUAGCAGAUUUCCCAUUAUGCUCCAUCAUAGCACAUUUCCCAUCAUGCUCUACAGAGCUGAUUUAUCUUACCAUUAUCAGUAUUUUAAAUGUAAAUAGGCUGAAUGCAUAAUAUUAUAACUAUGGCCAUGAUAUAACUACUUAUUUUAUCAAUAUUAUGUGAUUGUUUUGGGCAUUUAUUUUGCUUUUAUUGCAAGUCUGUAUAUGAAAUGAAUUUUAAAAAUGGGAAGAAUAGAAACAGAAUAUGUAACUUUUGAUAAAUCUGAUUGUCCUGUUAAAAGUUAUUUACCAAAUUUAUAAAAUACAAUUUAGAAGUAAGCAAAAUUAUUUACAAAGGUGCAUACCGUAUAGCGGGUUAUUUUCUCAGGUGUAAAAUUUCGAUUUCAUUAAAUGAGGUAUACGAAAUAUUUUGGCGGAUUCAAAACUUUUAUCAAUACCUUUGAAUGAACAGUUUUAAUUUGGCAGAAUUUAUUUUGACGAUUUUAUUCUAUCUGCGGAAAAAGCAAAAAUUUACUUCCUGCUAAAAUGACCCCCUAUACGGUAUAUAUAUUAUAUUGAUUUAUUUUAAAAUGCCUACAGAAUAAUUGUACUUGAAUUGAGAAUGUCUUCCCAGGGUAGUUGAAAUUUAACUUCACCAAUUUACUAAUAUUCCUGUAGUAGUAAUUAAGAUUUAAAUGGGCUGUUGUAUUAAGUAUUUAAGAUACUGUUAUGUAUUGAAGUCAAACUUUCUGAGUAGUGUGUUAUGCCAACAACAAUCUUAAAAGUUUAUUUCCCAAAAUACACUGAAACCUAUGUAUGAAAACUGUUGGGACAUUUAAAACUAUCAUCUGAUUGACCCAGUUGCAGCAGUUUGUUAUAUCCUGGUUGAAAUGUCCAUUUUAGGGUUUUAUUUAAGACGGGUCUCGUUGUAGUAUCGGUAUUUCAAGAAAUUUUGCAAUGGAAGAAUUUUAAUUGUUUCUUAAAAAAAAAAAUGCAGCAUUUAUUUGUAAAUGGCAAUAAAUAUACAAUGCAAUAUAUGCAAUAAAUGUAUAGAUAAGUACAGC